rnacentral:rRNA from 1 species
GACGAACGCUGGCGGCGUGCUUAACACAUGCAAGUCGAGCGGAAAGGCCCUUCGGGUACUCGAGCGGCGAACGGGUGAGUAACACGUGAGUAACCUGCCCUUCACUUUGGGAUAACCCUCGGAAACGGGGGCUAAUACCGGAUAUGACAUGGGAUCGCAUGGUCUUGUGUGGAAAGUUUUUCGGUGGGGAUGGCUCGCGGCCUAUCAGCUUGUUGGUGGGG